rnacentral:rRNA from 1 species
CUCUUUCUCGAUUCAGUGGAUGGUGGUGCAUGGCCGUUCUUAGUUGGUGGAGUGAUCUGUCUGGUUAAUUCCGAUAACGAACGAGACUCUCCCCUGCUAACUAGUCGGUUGGAUCUUGAUCAGCGGGUUGCGUGCCGAGUAACUCUCGCUGUGCGUGGUGCGUCUCGGGCCUCACGGUUCGUUGCGUGCUCGUGUGGCGUUGGAUGCCUUGGAUCACACUGCACCCCAAGUCCGCCGCUCAUGCUAUAACUCUUCUUAGAGGGAUUCACGGCACUGAAGCCGUAAGAGACUGAGAGCAAUAACAGGUCUGUGAUGCCCUUAGAUGCUCUGGGCCGCACGCGCGCUACAAUGCCGGGCACAGCAGGUGUUUCUCCUGCUCCGACAGGAGCGGGUAACCCUCUGAAAGCCAGUGUUCUUGCAAGUGCUUCCUCCCUCGUGGAGUUGCACAGAGGCGUGCUUGGGCCUGGGACUUGCAAUUCUUUCCCACCAACGAGGAAUGCCUAGUAGCGGCGGGUCACUGAGCCCGCCGUGACUCAGUCCCUGCCCUUUGUACACACCGCCCGUCGCUACUACCGAUUGGGUGUACCAGUGAGAGCCUUGGACUGGCGUCCGUUGUUGCUCGCAAGAGUGACAAGCGGGUCCGACGGAAAGAGGUCCGAACUGGUGCACUUAGAGGAAGUAAAAGUCGUAACAAGGUUUCCGUAGGUGAACCUGCGGAAGGAUCA